rnacentral:SRP_RNA from 1 species
UCAUGCUAGGCGGGGAGCUAGCGCUACCCUGUACCCGCAAUGCGCUUUAGCGGGGCGGAAUUCCUAAUUGAGGCCCGACUUUGUAGGACUGCGACCGAGAAGUGGUGUUGAAGGUCAGGUCCCACGCGGCAGAACACUAUGAACCCUGUCAGGACCGGAAGGUAGCAGCAGUAAAUGGACCGUUCUGGGUGCCGUGGGAGUGCCGGGCUGGAGCUAACUGGCGGUCGUAAGCUGGAAGGUUGUCGUCGAUAAAGGGUGCAUGA